rnacentral:lncRNA from 1 species
AGAAUGGUCAAUUUUCAUUGUUUUCAUGUGGCUUUCCAGUAUUCCCAGCAUCAUUUGUUGAAAAGACUUUCUUUUCUCCAUUGUAUGCCCUCAGCUCCUUUGUCAAAGAUAAGCUGUCCAUAGAUGUGUGGUUUUAUUUCUGGGCUUUCAAUUUUGUUCCAUUGAUCUGUGCACCUGUUUUUGUACCAGUACUAUGCCUUGGCCUUCUCCCGGCCCACAGGGUGGCCAGUGUUUCUGCGGAGCAGGGGCGACGAUGCCUCUGGAUGCCAGGGUUUGUAGAGUGCAGCCGGCCUUCUCCCCUCAGGCGAUGAGUUAGACUCGAGCCUCCAGAACUAGUGUCCCUGCGCAGAGAAGGCUGAGUAGCCCAGCACUUGUCCGAGCAGGCUCUUAGGCUGGUGCCCCAGAAGGUGUGAGCCCCACGCCUCUUUGGCUGUUUUCCCAGACUCGGGAGAGCAUCCUGCUCUGAGGGCCUCCCCGAUCGGGGAGACGCGGCCCGCUGGCUCAGCAAAGCCAGGCCGGCGCUUUCACGAGACACCGCCUGAGGUCUCCUGGCAGAUUGCUCUUCCCGUCUGCCGUUGUCACACUGAGGAUGUGGAGGUCCCUGGGCUGGGACUGGACACUGGAUUCCCAAGGGUCGAGUGGGGAUCUGCUUAGUGUGACUGGCCCCGUGCGAAUUUCUUUCCAGGCCAACACACCGAUCCGGAGGACGACGGGGGCAUCCAAGACAGCCUGUGUUGCAGGUAACUCGGAAGAAUCCCGGGACUCCAUUGGAAGGGGCCAUCUGGGCAUCUCCGAUCGAGGGAAUUCAGCGAGCACUGACUAUCCCCGUUUCCCCCAUGCACGCAACCGCCAAGUGUCCCUUUCCCAGAGUGCUCUGUGUUUCUCACCGUGGUCCUCAGAUGGGCCAAUUCCGUGAUCUUUCUCCAGUGUGGUCACGUGCAGUCAGAUGCCGGAGGUGUGCUCAUCUGUCGGCGGAUGGCGUGCACUCUCCCGUUCUCUCUUUUUUCUGUCACCCAGCGGAGGACACAUGUCUGCCUCUGCCCGGUUGCCGUUUCCACGGUGGCAGCUAAUUCCUGGCCAAGACAGUCGUUCGUGACCAAAGUCCGCAUCAUGCCCCAGUAGGGAGAGAGGCAGACCUUGCAGCUUCCAGAUUUCUGGGAGUUGACAGUGGUGCCAGAGCCAGGCAGGGUUCACUUGGCAGCUGUCUGUCCAUUUUCACAUUUCAUUUUUAUUUUCUCUUUCUGUCUCUCAGAUACCAAGAUCUCUGGAACUAAGGAAAGAUAUUACUGAUUUGAAAGAAACCACUUCACAAAAAGUACCAUUUUCACUUGAUGAAAAAAUUCUAAAACAGCAAAUCAAUGUAAAACCCAAACACAGCAGUGACGGGAUCCUAUGCUGAAGAUCAACAUCACAACCACAAAGCACUCCCCAAGGUUUUUACUGCAAAGGCUGGUUGGACGGGAGAAAUCCCAGCCCUUCGGCCUCCAACUGCGCUAAGUCAGUGAGGAGACCCACACACGGUUAUGAGAGACCUUAACCCUUGCUGCUCUCAGUUCCCAUCCUGCACAUCAGCGGAAUCAGGAGCAACUGGCAGAAGACAACAUGACAGACCGGGCGUUCUGUGCCACCAGCUGGGCUGUGCAAGGAGCAGACAGCACUAACUAUGCAGUGCUCUUGCUGACAAGGUUUAGCCUGAAUUCAGUCAUGAGGUAGUCCUAGAAGGUUAAAUCAUCUUUUGUCCUGUGUGUCAAGUUCUGUAGGGACCUUUUUAGACCAUUAACCCACCUGUAAACAGGGCUCCUGAGAGUUUGGUUAUUUGUGCCACAGCAAGAUGGAGGACCCUGGUGUUUGGAGACCUUUUUUAGUACCAGCCUUGACGUGAACUGUUUGCUAAGAUUUUGGGCAAGUCAUUUCACCUUUCUCAGCUUUAAUUUCUUUUUUUUUUAUUGAGUUAUUGAUAGGUUACAAUCUUGUGAAAUUUCAAUUGUACAUUAAUGUUUGUCAGUCAUGUUGUAGGUGCACCACUUCACCCUUUGUGCCCACCCCCCACCCCACCUUUCCCCUGGUAUCCACUAAACUGUUCUUGAUCCAUAGUUUUAAAUUCCUCAUAUGAGUGGAGUCAUACACAGAUUAUCUUUCUCUCGCUGGCUUAUUUCACUUAACAUAAUCCUCUCAAGGUCCAUCCAUGUUAUUGCAAAUGAAAUGAUUUUGUUCUGUUUUGCAGCUGAGUAGUAUUCCAUUGUAUAUAUGUACCACAUCUUUUUUUUGUGUGGUGUUUUUUUUGUUUGUUUGUUUUUGUGUUUGUUUGUUUUUGUUUUUGGAGAAAGAUUAGCCCUCAGCUAACUACUGCCAGUCCUCCUCUUUUUGCUGAGGAAGCCUGGCUCUGAGCUAACAUCCGUGCCCAUCUUCCUCUAGUUUAUACGUGGGACGCCUACCACAGCAUGGCUGCCAAGCAGUGCCAUGUCCGCACCCGGGAUCCGAACCAGCGAACCCCGGGCCGCCGAGAAGCGGAACGUGCGAACUUAACCGCUGUGCCACCGGGCCGGCCCCUGUACCACAUCUUCUUUAUCCAUUCGUCUGUUGAUGGGCACUUAGGUUGCUUCCACGUCUUGGCUAUUGUAAACAGUGCUGCAAUAAACAUUGGGGUGCACAGGACUUUUGGGAUUGCUGACUUCAGGCUCUUUGGAUAAAUACCCAGUAGUGGGAUGGCUGGAUCUUAUGGUAGUUCUAUUUUUAGUUUUUUGAGGAAUCUCCAUACUGUUUUCCAUAGUGGCUGCACCAGUUUGCAUUCCCACCAGCAGUGUAUGAGGGUUCCUUUUUCUCCGCAACCUCUCCAACAUUUGUUGCUAUUAGUUUUAGAUACUUUUGUCAUUCUAACGGGUGUCAGGUGAUAUCUUAGUGUAGUUUUGAUUUGCAUUUCCCUGAUGAUCAGCGAUGAUGAGCAUCUUUUCAUGUGCCUAUUGGCCAUCAGUAUAUCUUCUUUGGAGAAAUGUCUGUUCAUGUCUCCAGCCCAUUUUUUGAUUGGGUUGUUUGAUGUUUUGUGGUUGAGUUGCGAGAGUUCUUUAUAUAUUAAGGAUAUUAAGCCUUUGUCAGAUAUAUGACUUGCAAAUAUUUUUUCCCAGUUAGUGGGUUGUUUUUUUGUUUCAAUCCUGUUUUCAUUUGCCUUGAAGAAGCUCUUUAAUCUGAUGAAGUCCCAUUUGUUUAUUCUUUCUAUUGUUUCCCUUCUCUGAGAAGGCAUGGUGUCCGAAAAGAUCCUUUUAAUACUGAUGUCAAAGACUGUACUGCCUAUGUUUUCUUCAAAGAUAAUUUCAUUAUUGCAAUCAGUAGGUCAUUUACUGAGUUCUGUGGCACGUCAGGUCCCAUGCGAGGUUUUAGGGCUGCAGCCUUGAACAAGACCCUGUUGGGUGCAAGGGUUAUGUGAUGUACUGUGGUAUCCUGCAAGCUUGGUAUAUCCUGUGGACUUUCAGAAUUAUCCAGGAACAGAUGUGCAAAGGGGACUUUUUCACGUGCAGGCAGUGUUUUUGGUGGUGAGGGCUUUAGGUGUGUAUUAGGCAUUUAAUCUCUCCCUCAGGCUAUGUACAGAUUAGUGGAGCACAUACUGUGGACACUUCUGAAAAACAUUAAGCAGCCCUACAGAGUUAUGCAAUAUGAACGGGGCCCACAGUGUAGUUUUUUGUCCUCUGGGACUUGUGUUUCUCCUAAGUGUGACCCAGAAGAUGUACUCUAAGAUUCCUCUGGCAGCCCAGUUAUUCUCUGACUGAUUAAGGCCUCGGUAGGUGUAAAGUGCUCAUCCAUGACCUUCCUGACCUUCCUCAAAGCGAGUUAUAUCAGUGUACGUAUCGUAGGAGAGACCUGUGCCAAUGGCAGAGUACGUAGCUUGGCUCUCAGCUGAUGGGUGGGACUGAGUUGUUACCCCGCAGGAGGGGAGGAAGGCCUUGGCCUACUCUUGCCUCACCCUGAAGGCAGACUUGGCUGUCUGAUGGGGUGGCCCUGAUGGCAUCAUAAACAUGGAUUGGUUCUGCUCCUUCUUCCCCGUCCUCGUAGUUCCGCUGACUCUAAUCUUCCACUGGGACAGCAGAUGGGUUGGCCGGCAGGGUGAUAUUUGCUUGUUUUGCAGACUCUGGUCUCAUUUAGGUUUUGGUGGAGUGUGUUGAGUCAGCCUUGGUAAACUUUUGCGUGCUUCAUUCUUCCCCUGGAGCCCACAAAACCCGUCAAACAGAAUUAGAGAACCAGACCCUAAUCAUGCUUGUUAGGGCUAACCAUCAACACAGUCUUGUUGAUGGAUGGAUGGUUUAAUAAACAUCCGCUGAGCAUCUGAGCUGAGUCUGUAGGUGUGUCCUGGGCUUGUCCUGAACCUGGCCGGGAGGUGGAUGUGGACGCGUGGCAGAUUCUUGGACAUUUCGAGGCCGUCUCUUCCUUUUUUUGGAUUUAGUUGACACCCACGCUUGAAUGAGUUUGGUGAUUUAUUCAAGAUCACACAGCUGGUUUAGGAUUGAGCCUUGACUUCUGUCUUGUUAUGGUCCCUUCCAAACUGCUCCAGCUGUCCAGGUGUGGGUGGGGAUGAGCCAGGUGUCGCUGUCCAUUCCAGCUCUAAAUCCUGCAUUAGGGAGGCAGCUACAGGUCAUCUGCUGCUGCUCUCAGUGCUUCUGGGAACAUGGGCUGUUUGCUGUAAGGGGGACCUAAGGAAGGGGUGUGAAGCAGCUUUCCUUAAGUCCAGUUGAGGCUCCACCAUGGGAUUCUGCAGGGGUUUUAUGUCGUGAACGUGAGUCUGACCUAACUUUCUUUUUUCAUAGCUCACUGCAGGCUUCGGUAAAAAUUCUAGGAGCUGUGGCAUCAAGACUUAUUCGAGUUCUUAGUGGCAGACUGAUAGUGACUUAGAGAUGGGGCCUGUGGGUACUACAUGGCAUUAGAAGAUAAAGUUGGGAGACAGAGAAAACAAUUCAUGGAAACUUUCCCAAAGAAGAAAAUAUCUGAAACCUCAUGUUGAAAGAGCAUAUUGUGUACCUGAGAAUACUGAGUCAGAUGGAUAUCAAGAUAUACUCUAGGAAAAUUACUGGACUUGAAAGAAAAAGAUCAUUUGGGCAUCUAAGAAAAACAAUACACAAAUUAUAAGGGAAAAAAUUAGAUUAUCAUCAGACUUACAACAAGCUUCAUGCCACAAAGAGAUGGAGUAAUAACAUUUAAGAUAAAGAAAAUGUGAAGGAUUCUGUAUCCAGUGGUUUUGACAAAAGGUUGCCAACAUGCGAAAAAAAAAAUCAGGGAAUAAUGUUCCCAUGAGCCCUUCCUAAAGAUACCAGACAAUGAACGUGAGAUGACCAAAAUGACUCGAGACAUGCAUAUAAGUAUUAGUCAGUAUUAAAUAUGUAGUUAUUGAGGAACUAACGGAGAUUAUUAUACGUAAUGGCCACAUGACUAUAUUAGUUUCCCAAGGCUGUGAUAACAAAUUACCACAAAGUUGGUGGCUUAAAAUAACAGGAAUUUAUUCUCUCACAGUUCUGGAAGCCAGAAGUGCAAAAUGAGUUUCAGUAGACAGAAAUCAAAGUGCGAGCAGGCUGCCCUCCCUUGGAAAGCUCUAGGAGAGAAUCUAUCCCUUGCCUCUUCCAGCUUCUGGUGGCUGCCAGCAUUCCUUGGCUUGUGGCUGCAUCAUUCCAAUCUCCACCUCCAUCACGCUGUCUUUUCCUCUUCUGCGUGUAACCUCCCUUUUAUAAGGACACUUGUCAUGGCAUUUAGGGCCCACUCAGAUAAUCCCGGGUAAUCUUCCCAUCUCAAGAUCCUUAACUUAAUCACGUAUACAAAGUCUUCACCUUUUAAAGUAACAUUCACAGGUUCCAGAGGUUAGGACCCGAUACCUUUUGAGGGGCCAUUAUUCAGCCUACCACAAUCAUCUAGUACAACCUUUUUUUUUUUUUUUUAAACGGUGGAGGAUAGGGACAGCAUAUGCAAAGAAAGUUUGGGACUGUUUUCAGUAUCAUACUUGAUGCUGGUAUUAGUGUUGUUAUUCUGAGACUGCCAGUUGUGUAGUGUGAGAUAAAGUAAAUGAGUAAUUAGGGGAUAUUCAAUUCUGUCAUUCCCUAUGUACUUGAAAACCAGAAGUCUUGGUGUGAAAGAAAGAACAGAUGAUAGGAGAGGUUAAGUAAAACCCUUGUAGUCGUGAAUUCUGGUUGGAAAUAUCAGUAUGGAUUCACCAGUACAUUUAAAUCUACCACAUUCAUUCUCACAGUCCCUCUUUAUAUGUAGUUUUCUCAGCUCUGUCUACUGAAAAAGGUCUAGAAACAACGGUCAACCCAAUAAAGCUAGCAUCCCAAGUGCCCAGAUGGUGGUCUAGAAACACCAUUUUGCAUUAAAAGAUACCAUGUCUUUCUGGAGAAAUGGCUGAUUCAGGUCUGAGGCGGAAAAUAUCUGAGGAGUAGGAGAGAGGAGAAGGGCAAGAGAGAGCAGCAAGAGAGAGAGCAGGCAAGAAGAGGAGGAAGAGAGAAAAUCUCCCAGGCCCAAAACACACUCCAGGUACCAGAAUGUGUGCACGCAUAAAGGCACAGAAAGAAGGAACCACAGGAAGGGGAAGGAGACAUUGUUCAGCCCUGGACACGGUCACGCAUGACAUAGAAAGGCAAGCGCUGGCUGUGUCCAGCCAGAUAUUUUGUAGGCGGGGGACAGUCUGACCUGCAGACUUUCAACAUUCUGGCCUCACUGGGGAAACCAUCACCAUCAUGUGGGUAAACACCUCAAACCCUCUUGGCCUGCUGCCAUUCAACACACCCAGCCAACCUUCGGGUGCAGAUCUACGCUGCUCCAAAACCAACUCUCUUACUCGCCCGGAGGUAAAUGCUGGGUUCGCAUCCACAAGUACAUCCAGUCACUCAUUCAAUUACAUAUCUCAUUUUAAAUCCAUAAAAAGGCAUUCUGGCCUAAAAUCAGGUUUGUCCAUCUGAAUAUCCCAGAGCUGCUCAUAAAUGUCCCUAUUGUAAGUGUAUGUCAGUUCUCCUGGCUGCACACGACAAUAACCUGGGAGCUUUUAAAAUUACCAUGAUGGUGGGACCCCAGCCCAGACAUGUGAAAUAAUCCCUAGGGGUAGUGGGCAUCUACAUUCUGUAAGUUAUCCAGGCGAUCCUAAGGUACAGCUGGGUUGCAAAGCACUGUCGCCAUAGAAAACUAGGUUUCUGCGGCAGCAAGGCUAAGGGUUAACCCUUAACAGUGGGCAACAAAUGCCGCCCCUUAAGGCAAAGCCCCUAGCCUGCUGGACACCCCUGGCGCUGUCAAGCACACGGAGGCCUCUUCCCGCUUGAAUUUCUACAAAAUCCAAGAUUGCAGCGCAUUUUGUUUUCUCCUGUGCCUUUCUGCAGAAUGUGACCCUAUAGGGUUCUACUGCUUUUCGAAACUCUCCUCUUUCGGCUGCAAUAGGGAAAAAUUGAUAACUAAGACUUAAAGAUUUUUUUCACAGCAGCAAAAGGUGUAAAUAUUUGAGAACAGAGACAAGUAAUGAAUAAGUUCUGUUACAUGGGUUCCACUUGAGCAACAUGUCGAUGAACAGCUAAGGGAAGAAAGAGCACAAGGCCGCUCCUCCCACGCCUCCAGGGAGAGGGCACCUUCCACAGCCCGGAGCAUGGUGAGCGCCACGUGCAGUCUUGCUGCGUUUCGCUGUUUGCUCUAACUGAUCUGUCAACCAGGAUGUGGGCAUUAAGUAAUUGGAAUGUGACUUCACUGGGGAAAGGGGCAUGGUCUGCAGAAGACAUGAGAAGACUACAACUAAAGUACAAUUAGAGUGUUGGAGCUGGAAGGGACCUCAGAGAUCCUCUAAGAUACAGGUUCUAAGUCAACCCCCUUAUUUUACAGAUGAGGGGACUGAAGGACAAAGAGAUGAAAGUGACUUGUUCAAGGCUGUUGAUCCAGUGUAGGACUGGCCCUGCAACCAGUCAGAACUCUUCCAUGCCACAUUCUAGUCUCUCAGACCUGGGCCUCCCUGCUGAGUGAUGAGUAAACAGACCAUCAUGAAGAAAAGAGUACACUGCCGUGGGGAGGUGAGAGGAGUGACUGCAUCUCCCACAUGGCAGAUCCAAUGCAUCAAGGCUUCUCCUGUAGAAGAGGUGAGUCAGCAGCCUCAAGUGUGUGCUUCAGACAUAUUUUUAAUGAAAAACAACUGCAAGCUACUGCUGGAAAGAGGAAAUAAGGAAUCACUAAAAGGCAUCACUGUCAUGAGGCACCUGACAUUCACAGGACACUGAGAAUGUCAGCCUCACCCUCACAAACCAAACCCUUGCUGAAUUCCAUGAACCCCACACGUGCUUACUGAGCAGCUACUAUGGCUAGGCCCUCUGCCAGCACUGCAAAAAAGACAGUUCAACCACCUGUUAUGGGGCCUAUGCUAAAACAAGUACACAGUUAAUGCUAAGAUUACAAACCAAAUGAUGCUACAGCAAUUGAAGGAAGAAGAACCCCGAGAAAGUUGGAAGACAGGGGCAGAAACUAGUAUUUGAUGAGCUAAGCCUCAUCAAAUGAGUAUGACGUUGACAUAUUCACCAUAGGUGAAUCGCACAACUACAAAGCCAGCUUCAGGCCACAGGCUAGCUCACCUUCAGUAGAAGAAAAAUGAGACCCACACUAUAAAAAUCUUGAUCAUCUUGCCAAGGGAAUGGCUAGGAGGGCAAAGUCAUUAAACAUCACAUUCUCUCCACAAAACAGUUUUGUGAAAUACAACCAACACGACUUGGAUGACAAUUGGGCUGGGCAAGAGAAGCAGAAAAGGGAUCCCACUCCUAGCAAAGGCCCCCAGGUAAAUGUAAUGAGUAGAGAAGCAGUGUAUACUCAGUGACAUCAACUUCCUUCAUUCACUUAUUCAUUCAAGGUCAACGGCGCACCUAUAAUGUGUCAGGCACUAUGCUAUGUCCUGGAAAUUCAAAAGUCAAUCAGACGCGGUGUUGUUUCAGGAUCUCAAAAGCCAGAGGGUACCACCUGGGGUUGGGGGUGGGUUGUAGAAGACAGAAGUGAUCACAAUAUAGGCAGUAAGCAUUGACAGAAAGCCUAAGGACACGAAGGAAGUUGCUAAUAUCCCAAACAAUCUAAUUAGCCUCGGAAACCCAUUAUGGAUUUGUCACCACUGAUAGAAUCCCUGCCUCAAGUUUUCAUAUUUCAGCAACUUCCAUUUCCAAGAAGAGGUUGGGAGGGAGAAAGGGACCUCCUAAUCCUAGCUUGCUGAGACUGCCAAUUAUCUAGGGUCUAUGUUUUCAUAACCUUUACCAGCAUCCCACUCAGCCCUUUUCUCAUUUCACAGAGGGGCUCAUAUGGACACAGUUUCAUUCUCAUCAUUUUAGACAAACAGACCUUAAAACUGCCAAAAAUCGAC